GAUCUGACCCAGAUCAAAGAUAAUCCUCCGGAAUAUGAGAAGUACUAUAGACAAAUGAACAAGGGAGGUUUUCCCUUCAGCACGCGGGACUGUGGUUGGAUAGUUGCGGACUGUACAGCGGAAGGACUGAAAUCUGUGAUGCUGCUGCAGGA